CUGAACACAAAAUGGCGACACGUGGUUAGCAUUCGUCGCCAACGAGAAAUUGGGGUCGGCCCGAAAGCUCUAGAAUGCACCCCUCUUCCUCCCCGGGGCCUUCCACCUCCGCGAGUUUUAUGACUUAAAAAAGCCCACAGGCUGGUCUGAAGAGGAAGACAAACAUAAAGAUGAAGUGCUUAAUUCAAGGUCACACAAUGUCGGGGAUGGACCUCCAGAUUUCCUUACUGACCUGCAUUAUCUUGUGGAUACCUGAGUGAAUUCCACACCACCCAUUUUAUAGAUGAAACCACUGAGACAUGGAGCAAUUGACUGAGUAGUCACUGCCCCACCCCUGCCUGGAGCCUCACACAUGACUCGCCUCCUCUCAGUGACCACAGGUUGGUUGAGGGGUUUAACAAGGCUAAGAAGGUGAGACGUGGUCUUGUAACACAGUGGUUAAGAAUGUGACUUUGGAGCCAGCCUGCUAGGGGCUGAAUUCUGACUCAGCCAUUUACUAACUGUGUGACCUUAGGUCACAGAAUUUUCCACACUCCUUGACAGAGGUGCUUAACCCUUAUCCAUCAGCAUUCU
rnacentral:lncRNA from 10 species